rnacentral:rRNA from 1 species
GCAGAGUUCUCGGAGUCACGAGCAUAUCAAUAAGCGGAGGAAAAGAAACCAACAGGGAUUGCCUCAGUAGCGGCGAGUGAAGCGGCAAGAGCUCAGAUUUGAAAUCGUGCUUUGCGGCACGAGUUGUAGAUUGCAGGUUGGAGUCUGUGUGGAAGGCGGUGUCCAAGUCCCUUGGAACAGGGCGCCCAGGAGGGUGAGAGCCCCGUGGGAUGCCGGCGGAAGCAGUGAGGCCCUUCUGACGAGUCGAGUUGUUUGGGAAUGCAGCUCCAAGCGGGUGGUAAAUUCCAUCUAAGGCUAAAUACUGGCGAGAGACCGAUAGCGAACAAGUACUGUGAAGGAAAGAUGAAAAGCACUUUGAAAAGAGAGUGAAACAGCACGUGAAAUUGUUGAAAGGGAAGGGUAUUGCGCCCGACAUGGGGAUUGCGCACCGCUGCCUCUCGUGGGCGGCGCUCUGGGCUUUCCCUGGGCCAGCAUCGGUUCUUGCUGCAGGAGAAGGGGUUCUGGAACGUGGCUCUUCGGAGUGUUAUAGCCAGGGCCAGAUGCUGCGUGCGGGGACCGAGGACUGCGGCCGUGUAGGUCACGGAUGCUGGCAGAACGGCGCAACACCGUCCCGUCGUAA